AUUGAACGCUGGCGGCAGGCCUAACACAUGCAAGUCGAGCGGAUGAAGGGAGCUUGCUCCUGGAUUCAGCGGCGGACGGGUGAGUAAUGCCUAGGAAUCUGCCUGGUAGUGGGGGAUAACGUCCGGAAACGGGCGCUAAUACCGCAUACGUCCUGAGGGAGAAAGUGGGGAUCUUCGGACCUCACGCUAUCAGAUGAGCCUAGGUCGGAUUAGCUAGUUGGUGGGGUAAAGGCCUACCAAGGCGACGAUCCGUAACUGGUCUGAGAGGAUGAUCAGUCACACUGGAACCGAGACACGGUCCAGACUCCUACGGGAGGCAGCAGUGGGGAAUAUUGGACAAUGGGCGAAAGCCUGAUCCAGCCAUGCCGCGUGUGUGAAGAAGGUCUUCGGAUUGUAAAGCACUUUAAGUUGGGAGGAAGAGCAGUAAGUUAAUACCUUGCUGUUUUGACGUUACCAACAGAAUAAGCACCGGCUAACUUCGUG
rnacentral:rRNA from 1 species